GACGAACGCUGGCGGCGUGCUUAACACAUGCAAGUCGAACGGAAAGGCCCUGCUUUUGUGGGGUGCUCGAGUGGCGAACGGGUGAGUAACACGUGAGUAACCUGCCCUUGACUUUGGGAUAACUUCAGGAAACUGGGGCUAAUACCGGAUAGGAGCUCCUGCUGCAUGGUGGGGGUUGGAAAGUUUCGGCGGUUGGGGAUGGACUCGCGGCUUAUCAGCUUGUUGGUGGGGUAGUGGCUUACCAAGGCUUUGACGGGUAGCCGGCCUGAGAGGGUGACCGGCCACAUUGGGACUGAGAUACGGCCCAGAGUCCUACGGGAGGCAGCAGUGGGGAAUAUUGCACAAUGGGCGGAAGCCUGAUGCAGCAACGCCGCGUGCGGGAUGACGGCCUUCGGGUUGUAAACCGCUUUCGCCUGUGACGAAGCGUGAGUGACGGUAAUGGGUAAAGAAGCACCGGCUAACUCCGUG
rnacentral:rRNA from 1 species